rnacentral:rRNA from 1 species
AAGCGGCAACAGCUCAAAUUUGAAAUCUGGCUCUCGGGCCCGAGUUGUAAUUUGUAGAGGAUGCUUUUGGUGAGGUGCCUUCCGAGUUCCCUGGAACGGGACGCCAUAGAGGGUGAGAGCCCCGUCUGGUUGGACACCGAUCCUCUGUAAAGCUCCUUCGACGAGUCGAGUAGUUUGGGAAUGCUGCUCUAAAUGGGAGGUAUAUGUCUUCUAAAGCUAAAUACCGGCCAGAGACCGAUAGCGCACAAGUAGAGUGAUCGAAAGAUGAAAAGAACUUUGAAAAGAGAGUUAAACAGUACGUGAAAUUGUUGAAAGGGAAGCGCUUGUGACCAGACUUGGGCUUGGUUGAUCAUCCGGGGUUCUCCCCGGUGCACUCUUCCGGCUCAGGCCAGCAUCAGUUCGCCCUGGGGGACAAAGGCUUCGGGAAUGUGGCUCUCUCCGGGGAGUGUUAUAGCCCGUUGCGUAAUACCCUGUGGCGGACUGAGGUUCGCGCAUUCGCAAGGAU